rnacentral:tRNA from 1 species
GCUUUCAUGGUGUAAUGGUCAGCACACUCGGUGCGUGUUCGAAAGGUCCGUGGUUCGAGUCUCGGUGAGGGCA